GAUCAACCUUCAAAUAAGUCACAAAAUCUGCAGUUUACAGAUGAAACCUCAACACAAAGGCCAUUAAGGGCAAGAUCUAGCGAAUCAGACGCUGCGGGGAUCCCUAUGAUGCAGAGACAACAAGCAGAGGAACACAAUUCUCCAUCCCUGAGUGGUGGAGUCUCCAGAGAAAGCUCUAGAACGUCUGAUGCUAAAGCCAUGGUGCUCAGAGCAAGACAACAGGCUGACAUGGAAAGAAGUUUAGGCAACACCAGGCCUGGUAACUCCGAUGCUCUGGAGAUGGUGAGAAGAGCGAGGCUGGAAGCUGAAAUGGACAGGGGACCACAUUAGGCAGAUAACCCCUGUUAUUAGAACGAGUCACAUUUACUGAAGUGCAGCACUUGUGAUUUUUGCAAGAAUUAACCUCUUGGCUGCCGCAGAGAGCAGUAGGACAUUUUAUAGCAAUGUGUUCUAAUUAGGGUGACCAUAUUGCUGCUUUAAAAAGGGACACAUGAAAAAUACAUAUGUCAGGGGAAACAUUUCUUUAAACAGCCCUGACAUAUGUAUUUUUCAUAAUGUGUCCCUUUUUAAAGCGGCAAUAUGGUCACCUUAGUUCUAAUACUCUUAAAAGGGAUGUUAAACAAUAGUCUAAGGCAGCUAUAGCAGCUGUAAUACUCAACCAGCUAUUGCUCACUAUGUAGACGCUACAAAGCAAUUUGAGGAGUUGAAAGUUGACCCCCCCCCCCCGCUCUUUUACCCAGGGUGCCUCAUUAUGUCUUUAGACUAUACAGCGUGGGUGUGUGCAGGUGGAGCGAGAUACGCAAAUGACCCUCCCCACCCCAGGAUUUUACUCUUUUUACCAGACAACUCUAUCCUGAUGAACAUAGAUAUUCAUUUUGGGGUGCAUUAUCAUUUUUGCCUCCCCAUGGAAACGUUUCUGCAGACACCCACAUAACUAAGUAAUUACAAUGCACAUUCUGUGGGUAAAUGGUUAGCCACAAGCGACGACAAACACACGCAUACUUGGCUAUAGCUCCUUACCAACCUGCUUAUUUUCAUGUUUUAAGAGCUCUGCUGUCCUUCUUAGUUUUUCCCUUUCCUAAAAUGUCCCCAUUUUCAAACUGAAUCCUGAGAUUCCCCUUCCAAUACACCACUUAUGGCUUUGGCCAACUCAGAAGACCUGCAACAGUCAUAGUCUCCUUCACACACACACACACACAAGUAUAUAUAUAUAUAUAUAUAUAUAUAUAUAUAUAUAUAUAUAUAUAUAUCAUAGUCACUUUUUUUUUACAUUUCAACAAACACCUCAAAUUGCUGUGGAUAGUCUACGUAGAUAGCAAGAACAAGGAAAGAAUUACUAUUGUUGCGGAGGACAUAUUUAGCAUUCGUUCAUAACAAAUGUUCUGAAUGCACAUCCCUAAUUUUUGCAAUAUAAUUAAAUGAACAAAAAUGAUUCCAGUAAACAAUUUCACUGUUCCAUUGGCCUACACACAUAUGCAGUGCAUGAUCUAUGCACCCUGGUUUAAACUGUGUUUCAGCACACAAAGCAAGUGGGGGGAUAAUCAAUGCUCACUUAAUUUACAACAUACAAGCCUGCGCCAACUCUAGCAUAGUAGUACAUGGGCGUGUACAGCAUAAGUGCGUAUGCUGCGGAAACAGUGACAGCUUUUAACAGAAUCCUUUUUGCUAAUAGAAAUAUAUUACAGAAUGUUUCUUGUUAAAAAUUAAAUGCACUUUUUUCAUAUUUCAAUUUUGACCAUUAUGUCCCAUCAACUGCCAAGGGUUAAAGCAAAAUGAAGUGUGCUAUGACGUUGUGGAAAUGUUUAACAUUAUUUAAUGUAGUUUACACAUGCAAUUUUAUAUUUUAUAUAUAUCUAUAUGUGUGUGUGUGUGUGCGUGCGCGUGUACACAUAUAUAAACUUUAUAAUUCAGUUAAUGUAAAACUCUAAACAAAUUGUUUGAAAUUAAUGUUAACAAUUAUAUAUCAGAAUUGUAAUAUUUAUUAAAGUUGCUUUGUUUUCCAGGAUAUGAUCUCCCUAAUUUAUUAAAUAAUUAUAAAUGUUAGAUUUUUGUUUUGUUUUUUACAUUUGUUGAGUUUUUUAUGUUAAAGAAAAUACAAUUUUAAAUAAAGUAAUAAAAAAAGA